AGUGAACGCUGGCGGCAGGCCUAACACAUGCAAGUCGAACGGUAACGGGUCCUUCGGGAUGCCGACGAGUGGCGAACGGGUGAGUAAUAUAUCGGAACGUGCCCAGUAGUGGGGGAUAACUGCUCGAAAGAGCAGCUAAUACCGCAUACGACCUGAGGGUGAAAGGGGGGGAUCGCAAGACCUCUCGCUAUUGGAGCGGCCGAUAUCAGAUUAGCUAGUUGGUGGGGUAAAGGACCUACCAAGGCAACGAUCUGUAGUUGGUCUGAGAGGACGACCAGCCACACUGGGACUGAGACACGGCCCAGACUCCUACGGGAGGCAGCAGUGGGGAAUUUUGGACAAUGGGCGCAAGCCUGAUCCAGCAAUGCCGCGUGCAGGAAGAAGGCC
rnacentral:rRNA from 1 species